rnacentral:misc_RNA from 1 species
GAUGAAGAACGUAGCGAAAUGCGAUACGUAAUGUGAAUUGCAGAAUUCAGUGAAUCAUCGAAUCUUUGAACGCAUAUUGCGCUCUCUGGUAUUCCGGAGAGCAUGCUUGUUUGAGUAUCAGUAAACACCUCAACUUCCAUAUCUUUUUUGAAAUGGGAGUUGGACUUGAGUGAUCCCAACGCUUUUCCUCACCGAAAAGUGGCGGGUUACUUGAAAUGCAGGUGCAGCUGGACUUUUCUCUGAGCUAUAAGCAUAUCUAUUUAGUCUGCCUAAAAAACAGAUUAUUACCUUUGCUGCAGCUAACAUAAAGGAGAUUAGUUCUUGUGCUGACUGAUGCAGGAUUCACAAAGACGGCUUCGGCCGACUUUGUAAACUCGAUCUCAAAUCAAGUAAGACUACCCGCUGAACUUAAGCAUAUAAUAAGCGGAGGA